CGGGGGUGAGUGCAUGAUGGGCACAGAGUCUCUUUUGGGGUGAUGAAAAGGUUUUGAAACUGGAAAAAGUUGAUGCUUACACAACAUUGUGAAUUAUUAAAUGUGGCUAAAUUGUACACUUUCAAAUGGUUAAAAUAGUAACUUUUAUGUUGUGUGUAUUUUACUAUGAUUAACCUGCCUAGGUGAUUCAUUGUGGGGACAAUUUUGAGAACCACUGAAUUAGAGCAUUCAUUUAUGCUUAACUCUGCUGUGGAGACCUGAAGAAAUGUCAAAUUCCUGUUUGAGAUAAUCAUUACAACUGGCUGGCGUCAAUGAGUUUACUGUAUCAUGUCAUUUCCAAUGGUUCCAAACUUCUGUUUUGAAUUUGCAUAUAAUGAAAUUCACUCUUCUCAGGAAGAAUUUCUGCAAGUUCUGACAAACACAGAGUCUGUGUUUGGAAAACGCAUGUGUGAAUUCCAUCCCUGCCCAUUUCCCCUGAGCUGUCUCCGUGGCCAUACACUUCCUUGGUCUGACUCGUUUUCUCUCUCUACAGUUUUGUCUUUUCCAGAACAGCAGCAGAUCGAGUGCAUUACAACUACGAUGGAUCCCUGUGCUGAACUCAUGUGGUGCUUGGGUUUAUGGAACAGAAAUGUAAUUGAAACACCGCGAGUGCAGGAGGCACAGUCGUCUCUAGUGGAAAAGUGCAGGAAUCCUCUGGUCUCUGGGCUGCACAAGACUUCCUUCUAUCUGUAAGUCCCCAAUAAACUGCAUUUGUGC
ensembl:lncRNA